rnacentral:rRNA from 1 species
CCUACGGAGAGCUGCAGUGGGGAAUAUUGGACAAUGGGCGAAAGCCUGAUCCAGCCAUGCCGCGUGUGUGAAGAAGGCCUUCGGGUUGUAAAGCACUUUCAGUGGGGAAGAAAGCCUUGGGGCGAAUACCCUCGAGGAAGGACAUCACCCACAGAAGAAGCACCGGCUAACUCCGUGCCAGCAGCCGCGGUAAUACGGAGGGUGCGAGCGUUAAUCGGAAUUACUGGGCGUAAAGCGCGCGUAGGCGGUCUGAUAAGCCGGUUGUGAAAGCCCCGGGCUCAACCUGGGAACGGCAUCCGGAACUGUCAGGCUAGAGUGCAGGAGAGGAAGGUAGAAGUCCCGGUGUAGCGGUGAAAUGCGUAGAGAUCGGGAGGAAUACCAGUGGCGAAGGCGGCCUUCUGGACUGACACUGACGCUGAGGUGCGAAAGCGUGGGUAGCAAACAGGAUUAGAUACCCGGGUAGUC